rnacentral:rRNA from 1 species
UACGUAGGGACCAAGCGUUGUUCGGAUUUACUGGGCGUAAAGGGCGCGUAGGCGGCUUGACAAGUCACUUGUGAAAUCUCCGGGCUUAACUCGGAACGGCCAAGUGAAACUGUCAUGCUAGAGUGCAGAAGGGGCAAUCGGAAUUCUUGGUGUAGCGGUGAAAUGCGUAGAUAUCAAGAGGAACACCUGAGGUGAAGACGGGUUGCUGGGCUGACACUGACGCUGAGGCGCGAAAGCCAGGGGAGGCAAACGGG